rnacentral:lncRNA from 1 species
UGUGGUACGUUUUUUAUAUUAAGUUUAAAAGUAUUAUACAUUUCUUACUAAUGUUUAUUGAUUUUUUUUAUAUUUCAUUUAAAUUAGAACUAAUACGUUUAUUUUUUGUAUAACAGAAGAAGGUGAAAGCCAACAAGAGCAAUUAGGAGAAGAAAACUCUUCUCCAGCAUUCCGAUUCGAGGCCCUUCUCAUAUAGGAUGGAGGCGCAAGGGCAAGUAAUAAUAAAAAAAUUCAUAUUCAAUUUUUAAUAUGUCAGUAAUUUUUUUUUUCGUACUAACAUUUUUCUUCUCUUGUUCUAUUCAGGGGGGUUCAAAAUUCCCAGAGAUCAAUGUCUUUAGAGACAUUUAUGUUCGAUCCGAGGAUGAGUUGGCCAAGUUCCUUCAUGUAAGUAUUCUUCAAUUGUAAUUACCAUCUUACACAUUCAAGUAUCAUGGUUAUUAUUGAAGGAAUUAUUUGUGAAAACUAGUUCAUUUGAGCAGCAUCUAUGCAUGCAAUUAACAAUUAAAAGGCGGAAUCAUGCUUGUAUGCACUCAAAAACAAAACUUUACCCAUGAAAUUCAAGGCCUAGUAAUUAUGGUGAACCAAGACUCAACUCAAAAUUUUUAUACCUUUGAAGCACCUCUUUGCUUAGCAAAGGAUAUUCACCCAUGUGAGGGCCUUCUUUCCUUAGUCUCCUUACUCCUUGACUCCAUGGAUGUGGAUGGAAGAACUUUGUUCUUGGCUCCAUGACUUCUUGGAUGGAUGAAGGAAUGGAAUCUCCAACUUCCCAAAAUAGGGAACCUCUAAGUCUCCACACCAAGGAGAGCAUUGAGGAAUAGAUGAGUGGCCUAGAGGAAGAAAGAUUGCUAGUGAUGUGAAAUAUUCUAACACUCAAAUUAAAACCCUAUGAUUGUAGUAUAUAAAAGUAGGGAUCGUUUUAGGCCGAGGAUUAGAAGGGCUACUAAUCUACACAAAUUGAACUCUAAAACACUAAACUAGACUCAAAAACACAAACUAGACUUUUAUGACUUAAAACUGUCUCAAACUACUCAAAACAGCACCAAAAAAAAAACAAACUAACUCAAAACAAACUCUAGGGAGUUAUUUGGACAAAUUUAAGACUAGUAAGACUCAAAACACUAAAUUGGACAGAUUUGAACACGUUUCUAACUAAUCUAACACACUUAAUUAAAAAGGGGAUUGAUUUGGACAAAAUUUAACUAAACUAAACAGAUUGCAAAACAAAGUAAAUUAGGUGAUUUGAAUGGUGAAAAACUAGCCAGAGGAUCCUUCUCCACACAUGAAACAUAUGCAUACAAAUUGAUUUCCAGUAUUGUUUCUUUCAACCAUGAAUGACAAUGCCCCAAAUUAAUUAUGAAUGCACUGAUUAACUUUCAGACUUUCCUAAGUUCAUUGAAUUGAAUGGACAACGCAUCGCAACCAAAUUAUUCUUCUCAAGUUCCUUAUAUAAACAGCAUGAUAGAGAUACAUAUCAAAGAUCAUUAAGUUCUAUGAAAAUCAUAAGCAUUGACAAGGCAUUCAUAACUAUGAACUACAUGAUACUCUUGCCAAGAAUUUACUUAACAUGAUUAUGACUAGCAAUCUCCACUACUUCUAAUUAUAAGUUCAUAACAAUUAGGUGAAAUUCCCUUAUAAUUUAGCAUCAAAUCACUGCAUGCAAACUAAGUAUGCAUCCUUAAUAAACACACAAGAAUAAGUUCUCAAUAACGCAGAUAAGUAAAUCACAUUCAUGUUUUAUGAAACAAUAACUGAAGGUAAUCAAUUCAUAUUAAACAUAUGCCCAUAGCUUCAAAUUCACCUCUAACAAAAAAGGAUUUAGUUCCUCAUGUUCAUAAUAAUUGAAAAGCAAAGUAAAAUAAACAUGGAAACGAAACGAGGGAAGAAAUAACUCUGAAAAUCUCCAAUGGUUGCAAGUGACUUGCGGCACAACCCUUGAAUGGUGGCACGGCACAAAUCUCCUCUUCUCCUUUCCUUCCUUGAUGCGGCACUUGAUGAGUUUCUGUGUAUAUGGUGUGAAUUGUGGUGUAGAAACAUAUGGGGGGUGGUCUGAUGGUAGAGGGUGGUGGUUUUUGUGGCAGAAAAUAUACAUAUAUAUAGGCCUAGGUGCAACACAAAAGUAGCUUAGGAAAAGGAUUUUAGCACUUCAAAUCCAUAAGGAAAAGGUCAGCUAUAUAGCAGAAACCAAAGAGGACAAGGAGAGAGAGGUGCGGCAGGCUUCUAGACAUUCUAGAAAGGGUCCAGGCGCCAGAUUUUUAAGAGAUGAGAUAAGGCUUCUAGAAUCAUAUUUUUAUGUGUCCAAGUCUGACCCCCUUGCAGCUAGAAUUAAGGUGAAAAGGGAUUAGGAUAAGAUAAGACUAGGUUGGAUAAGAUAAGGUUAGGAUAAGGUAUGGAUAAGAUAAGGCAGUUUGGAUAAUGUCUCCUUCUUUUGAGUUGAUUCCUUAUCUUCAAUGUCUUGAAUUAAUUUCUUCAACUCUUUAGCACAUUCCUAGCCUCUCUUGAACUUCAAAUUCGUCCAUCCACCUUACUCCACGCAUGUGAUAUCCAUUCCAAGCUCAAAACUGCUCUAAAAUGCUCCAAAUUGCACUUUCAUGCCAAUUUUGCCAUUUGACCCUACAAACACACGAAGAUAGCUUAAAACACUUUAAUAAGUAGAAACUAGCUAUGAAAAUGUAUGAAAUCAAGCUAACUAAGUCGCAUAAAUAUGCUCCUAUCAAAUUCCCCCACACUUAGCUUUUGCUAGUCCUCGAGCAAAACAAAACAAACAAAACAUAACCUAGACCUUCCAACGUUUGUCUCAGGGAUUUCCAAUGAAACAUGACACGUUAAAAAUCACUACUCCCAUAAAUUUUAGCUAUCCUUACCCUCGAGCACACACUUAAUCGCAGUCACCACUCACUAGCUCGCAUUUAAUCAAUUUAAACAAUGGUUUGAAUGUAGUAACAUGCCUUAGAGAAUUCACUCAAUUCCUCACCGUAAUACUCGUUAUUUUCACACAGAUUUUCUUACUACACUCCCUAUACUAGGUAUAUGUGAGAAGAUGGAUGUAAACAUGUAGACUAGCCACUCACAUAUGUUAUGAUCAAAGAAGGCACUUUCUGGAAUUAUUAAUGCAUACAUAUAUGAUCUCAUGAACGGAAUGCCACUACUUAGAACGAGAACCAGGGAUUCCAUAUGCUCAUACCUAUUUCAAACUCCACAGAUUGAAACACACAACAACCAAGAUAGAAGUCAAAGGGUUGUAAUGGGGCUAAGGGUAUUGGCUAACAAAGAAAGGUUAAGGAUAACAAGGGUUCUUAAAGCAAUAGUAAGCAAAGUAAUGAAAUUGACACUUAGAAUUCACUUUUGAAUGCAUCAACUAACUUUAAACACAAAAGGGAGAUUCACACAGUACUUAGGGCCAGAUUCAAACUUUUGGACCCUUUCUUCAACACCCAAUACUUGUGAGUUCAUUCUCACUUAUUUAGAACUCUUUUCCUUUGUUUUUCCACUUUUUCUUCUUUUUUUCUUCUUUUCACGUUUUUUUCUUUUUUUCUUUUUUUUUUUUCUUUUUUUUUUUCUUUUUCUUUUUUUUUCUUUGGAAAUAACCUUCCCCCACACUUGUUUUCUGCAAUAAUGUCGCUCAAAAGGAAUUCCCUCUAAGUCAUGCUCCACUACACUUUAAGAACAAGGGUAUGGAUAGUCCUAUUCUAGGCUAGGUAGGGAUAAUGUGGCUAACAAAGAAAAUAGGCUAAAUAAGGCUCAAAGGGGUUAAACCUACAAAACAUAUGCAAGGGAUUAAGGUUUUUUGGCUCUAGUGGUAACUGCUAAACAACUUCAUCUUGUUAUAUGUUAGGCACUCAAUUUUCAACUUUGAAUGAAAUGGGCAUGAGUUCUAGUAUUUGGAACUAAAAUGAUGAAAACGCUUCCUAAGUAGCAACCAAGCAAAGAAAUAAUGAGAUCAUGCAAUGACUUUAGAAAACAACAAAUCACAAAUUAAUAACUCUCCAAACAAGGUUUAGGCACAAGUCUCUCAAGGUUGUAGCAUUAGUUUGAGUUCCUUCCUUCAAGCAUGUUACAAAAACUGAUUUUUUUUUUUUUUUUUUUUGCUUUGUGAUUACAUGUGAAUUCGUUAAUGACAACUACAACCAAGUAUUAACCAAAGAGCAUAUCAAACUUCCACCCAUGUUUGUAGAUUUCUUUAACAGUCAUGCAAUUAAAAACCAAAUCCUCAUCAUUGUGUUAGAAGGUACCCUAAGACACAAACAAACACACAAACACGUCUCUUUUUGGGUUUUUCAAAACUUUUUCUAAUUUUUUUUUCAAGUUUUCGUAUUUUUCUUUCAAGACACACUAAAACAGUUCAAAACACACUAAAAACGCUUAAAACAGUGAAGAACAACUUUAGUGGUGCUAGGUGGUAAAAUCCCAUGAAAAUCAUGCAAAAACAGCUUGUUUACCCCCCC